UACAGAGGGGGCAAGCGUUGUUCGGAAUUACUGGGCGUAAAGGGCGCGUAGGCGCCUUCUAAGUCGAACGUGAAAUCCCCGGGCUCAACCCGGGAACUGCGUCCGAUACUGGAAGGCUUGAAUCCGGGAGAGGGAUGCGGAAUUCCAGGUGUAGCGGUGAAAUGCGUAGAUAUCUGGAGGAACACCGGUGGCGAAGGCGGCAUCCUGGACCGACACUGACGCUGAGGAGCGAAAGCCAGGGGAGCAA
rnacentral:rRNA from 1 species